CUUGCGCUUACGCUUACGUAACUGAGCAUAAAUCGGCCUUAAGACGGAGGCGUAAGUGAAGUAGGAGGCGUAACUUGUACUAGGAGGCGUAACUUGUACUUUUCUAAAUCGCGGUCCACGCGAGAUCUUUCUCUUUUCGCGGUAAAAAAAAGCCUUGUAAAUCACGGUUCACACGAGAUUUUCCUUGAAGUCGGAUCUUCAGAUAUUCAUGUCGAUAAGUAAAAAGAAGUGGAUUAACAAUAAUGAUUUUUUUUGUUUUUACAAGCUUAAUGAACUCUAGAACUAGGGCAGACUACUUGUGGUUGUGAUACUGUUAAAUAUCCUUUACGAAAUGUUCGAACGCUUAGGCCUACUGUUUUAACGUUGGGAUCAGGCCGCAUGAAAUGAUGUGAAGGGGUGGUUUCAACCCUGGACCAUAUGUUUGACACCCCUGCUUUAUGUUAUAAGGUCAUGUUCAUGAGGACCUUAUGCUAGGACAGUCACAUUCAUAGGACAGUCACAUUCAUAUGCCCUCAUAAAGACAAGAUGAUAGUGAGUGCAGGGGUUUUCUGAUUGGUUGCACAAUACACAGAGAUCUUGCACAAAGGAUAAAUCCUGGGGAAUGGACAGAGAAAACUGGGUACCAUUUUGAGGUAAGUAAUAUUCAUUUGUAUCAAGCUUUACAGCCUGCAUUUAUUUGCAAUAGCAAACUUCAAUCAGCACCAUUGAAAUCAAGGCUGAUGGUGGCAUUAUUUUGUUAGAGGUUUCCUCUGCAAACCAGUGGGAAUGACUGGAGUCUUUAUGAUAAUGGUAAGUCGUAGUUAAAUGUUUUCAUGUCUUGCUGUCAUUCGUGUGUUCACCCAUUCAUGUUUUCCUUGUUUGUUGUUUUUGGUGCAGUUGACCUUGUACGUUGCACUUGAUGCUCCAUUCGACUACACCAUAGUGGAUAUGCCAGCCCUUAGGAGGUGGUGGUGUAUCAUGCUGAUGGAGAACUUCCAACUGGACAAGUACUUAUUUAACAUAAGGGCAUUUACAGAUUCUCACAUGAUUCAACCUUUAUUAGCAGGAUUCAUGCUUCAAGUCAUUGCAUUUCUGAUUAUUUUUUAGCAUUUUCCACUCUUAUCUCCCUCCACUACCUCAUUUAGCCAUGGCAAGCUUUUGCACACUGGACCAAAUAAUCCAGGGAUCUCCUAAAAUGUCCUCGGCAGACUGUGACACAUCUGAGGAAGCGCAAUUUAGAGGAGAUGGAGGUAAUACGUUUGCCUUUCAUAGAAUGCCUGGUCAUAAACACAGAUGAUGGUUGCGUUUACAUUUGAUAGAUGAAAAAGUAGACAUCGUGACAACAAGAUUAUUGGCUUUUAUUAGUAACACCUGUGCUUACCUUGCUACUUCCUGGAAAACUGGCUGCUGCAACAUGGGUCCAUUAACCAGAAAUAAAUACCGGUAACAUAAUUAAAAUAGUAUGAACACACUAUACUGACUUUUGCAUGUAGAAUCACUUUGCAUGUAGAAUCACUGCAUGUUGAAUCACCAUCAACAGUAAGACCUAGCCAGGCAGCGCCGCCUAGUGGCUCCGCACAAUUAUCAUUUCGUUCCACCACAUACGAAGUGAAAGCGGAUGGUCAUAUCAGGCUAAGUAAGACCCCAGCACAGCACACUGCCCCCCCCCCCCCCCCCUACCCUGUCAUUACCAGUAAGAUCCCCCCCCAUCAUAUGAAGAGCUGCCACAAAAGCUCUGCCCAUCCUCAGUAAGCCCCCCGCCUUUCAUUCUUCGUAAAUUAGUCCCAUUUCCAACCUACUCCCUUCUGUAUCGAAACCACCAUGUUGUAUUCCCUUGAGUAUGCGCCGAAGUAGUACAAUUCACAAUAAACAUGAACAUAUCUGUUGUAACUCUGCCUUUGUAUUCUAUCAGGCCAUGAGUGUGGAAGAGCCAGACCUCAAGGCUUUGAGAAGGGAGGAAGAGAACCAGUGAAAACAACGGUAACAUAAUUGACUAUACAUGUGUUUCUUGUUUAUAAACAUUGUGCCUGGGCAUGCAAAUCCGGGGCAGAAAGUCAUCUACCAUUAUAGAAUGACUAUCAGAAAGCCCAGUUUAAAUGUAUUGUUUAUUAGUUGUGGUUAGCCUACUAAUCCCCCGUCUAUAGCCAGGAAGGCUUGCAGACACACCCUCAACAUAUUCCCAAACAUACCCUUUGCAUAUUUGAGCCUUUGUCUAUCUAAUUAUUUGACUUUAAGAUGAAAGCUACCUUCUAAGGUGCUAGCUAUGCUUACAUUACUUUACGACCUGCCACAUUUGAGAUGCACACGUUGGGAGAUGCACACUAAACAGUCACAAAAUACUCUAUACUGUACAGGCUAGUAGAUGUUGCUUGCUUCUUUCUGCCCCGAGUAUGCACAGUGCAACAGUGAUGACGUACCUGAGAAAUCCAUGUAUCUAUCAGUAAUAUUUAUUGUAAUUCAUUGUUUACUACCUCAUGCAGGACCUUGAAAACAUGCAGCAAGCGAUCAAUGACAAUAUGUAUUCAAUACAAUUAUUUGAAUUAUUAAUCUGCUGUCUUUUUGUUAAAGGUAUAAAGUAGGCUAAACUUCGGCCC